CGCCCCUUCGGCUGCGGUCGGGGGCCUGCCUCCAGGGCCCAGUCAGAAUGAAGGAAUGCGACUUGAGCGAACACUGAAGUAUUUUUCCUCGUUAUAAAAAUAGCGUUUGUUCGUUACAGAACAAGGGAAAGCUUGUGACCGAAUAAAGAACACUUACCACCAGGGAAAAACCACAGACCCCACUGCCAAGCAGUGUGCUCCUCUCACCUGAAUCAACCCUUAUAAGAGACCUAGGAUCGAAAUUCAACCAAUAGAACUGAAAUUUUCCCCAUCCAAUCUUAACUAAGCAAUCAGAGUGGCUCCAUCAGUCAGGACAGUGCUUUUUGCACCAAUCAAACUAUGAUGAUUUGAAGUCCUCAUUUCCAUGAGAACAACCAAUCCUGGACUGGUGGUGGGAACUCUUCUCUUUAUAAUCCAGCUUUCCCUCUGUCUCCCUUGAGUGCACUUUCAGUUUCCAGCGAACACUGCGUUUUCCCCUGCUGAGCUGCAACGCCAGAACUGUAACACCAAAGUGGACUCACAGUCACGCUGUUUCAUGAUUGAGCUGUCACAGCCGAAGCCGAGUUCUUUCACAAUUGAGCUGUUUUCACUGAAUAAAGUCUCUCCCUUCACCACACCCCAAAUUGGAAACUCCUAUUGGCGUUGAACUGGUGAUGAUGACCUUUGAUUGACCAAAGUCAUUAGCAGAAGAAAAAUGAAAGUUCCUUGAAGGAAAGUACAAGUUCAGAGUGACCAUGACUUAUUGGCCUUUUCCGUUGACUGGGCUUGUUGCUGGGCAAGAAGAAAAUCUUCCUCCUUCUGGGGUAGUAAAGGAGAUACAGCUUCCUCUUGGAGACACAAGAACCUUACCUCGUGGCAGCGGCCAGCCAGAGAAAAUAAAGCUAACGUACCAGCAAGGUGGCAGAGAAAACCCAAAAGAGGCAUCGCGCUUGGCACCGGGAACCUCUGGCAGGGAACGGGCAAGGCUGGCCUUCGCUGCUUCACCUUAACUCUUUCCAAAAACAGCAUGUACAAGAACGAACUUGCUUUUCUCAGCCCAACGUCCAGAGUUGUGCGCAUUUCAAGAAACACUUGGUUCUCUGGGCAAAAAACACACAAUGAUUUAAAGAUCUGAACCCUGGACACUGGGACUAUGUACUUAAAUAAUUUCAUGCAUUUAUAUAAUUUCAUAUAGCUUGUAGGACGAGGCUGGAUGACCCCACAGCAACUUAAGGAUUUCAGUGUCUAAGAGGGAGUCUUUCUCUUUCCAAGUCAUGAGUUUCUGCUGAUGUUUUUUAUUUCACCUAAUCUUCAUUAAGUACUUCUCUACCUUGCUCUAUUAUGAGAGCAUUUUCCUUUCAAUUUCACUUUCUUUUUUGAGCUACCAGUCUUUUUAUCAUUUUUAUACAGCAUGUUCAAAUUAGAUCUUAUAUAUCAUGUGAUAUAUUUUCACAUCCAGCCAUGUGUUCAGUUACAGCUGCCUAGAUUUAAGAAUAUCAACACUCAAGUGUCACUCUAUUAUGUAUUUUUUUGAGCCAUUGAGCCUGCAUUUCUAAGGCUUUGCAAUUUAACUCUCCUACUUUACUCAGUUUUACCAGUAAUAGUCUAUAUCACAUGGAUUCAUGAGAGCUUGUAACUGUGUCAAGAAGGAGACUAAAUCUUUGGUUAAAUUUUUCUUUCAUAGUUUCUCUUGUAUUUGAGCAUGUCAGAGAGGAAUAUCUGUGGUUCGUCUCCAUUAGGACUCUGUAACUAAAAUUUCAGCACAUUUAAACAGAAUCAUCUCACACACGGGAUAUUGAAUAAUGUCAUUAUACAAAACAGCACUGAAUGGCUUUACGAAAUUUGUGCUUGCAUGAGCGAUCAUCUGUAUUCUUGGAAGAAUAUUAUAAUAUUUGCUGUCCCAUGUUAUACAGCCUUAUCUUUAAAAGGAAGUGCCUAUAA